UACGUAGGGUGCAAGCGUUGUCCGGAAUUACUGGGCGUAAAGAGCUCGUAGGCGGUUUGUCGCGUCGUCUGUGAAAUCCCGCAGCUCAACUGCGGGCUUGCAGGCGAUACGGGCAGACUUGAGUACUGCAGGGGAGACUGGAAUUCCUGGUGUAGCGGUGAAAUGCGCAGAUAUCAGGAGAACACCGGUGGCGAAGGCGGGUCUCUGGGCAGUAACUGACGCUGAGGAGCGAAAGCGUGGGUAGCGAACAGG
rnacentral:rRNA from 1 species